rnacentral:rRNA from 1 species
AAUGGGCGCAAGCCUGACCCAGCCAUGCCGCGUGCAGGAAGAAUGCCUAUGGGUUGUAAACUGCUUUUAUUUAGGAAUAACCCCUUUACGUGUAGAGGGCUGAAUGUACUAAACGAAUAAGCACCGGCUAACUCCGUGCCAGCAGCCGCGGUAAUACGGAGGGUGCAAGCGUUAUCCGGAAUCAUUGGGUUUAAAGGGUCCGCAGGCGGAUGUAUAAGUCAGUGGUGAAAUCCUGCAGCUUAACUGCAGAACUGCCAUUGAUACUGUACAUCUUGAAUUCGGUCGAAGUGGGCGGAAUGUGUAGUGUAGCGGUGGAAUGCAUAGAUAUUACACAGAACACCGAUAGCGAAGGCAGCUCACUAGGCCUGGAUUGACGCUCAGGGACGAAAGCGUGGGGAUCAAACAGGAUU